CUCAUUCUGAUUCUGAUUCACUGGACUUCCUGUUACUGUUGGCACGACUGUUUGUAGCCUGCAAGCCUGCUUAGCAUUGCUUAUUCUUAUUCUCAUACGUUCAUCAUUUUACCGCGUGUUUGGGGUUUUUCCGCUUUUCUACUGUUUCAUCUGUGUGUAUUUUACCUGUUGCUGCUGGCGCCUAGCUCGAGUCUGUGUUUGUAGAUUGCUAGCUUUUUUAGCAUCGCUUAUCUAUCUUUUUUCAUCUUUUAAUCCUUAACAUCUGCCAUUUUUCAGCGUGCAUCGUGUUUUCCCCUACAUUAUUCUCUUAUCGCGAUUCAACUGCUUGCAUUUUCCGCGUGCAUCUGCUUUCUAUUUUUAUCGCGAUUAAACUGCGUGCGUUUUUCUCCUCUGUUACACGGAUUAUUGCAUCGAUCUCAAAGCACCGCUUAUCAAGAACAACCAUAACAGCAAACAAUUUCGUGAGGGACUCACAUCGAUCUCAAACCCACACCGUGGAAGAAUACAAAAUUAGAGAACUGGCUGGAUCCAGCUCCAUUCCUGCUUCGUGUUGGACUCCACUGCUACGUGUCUCUGAGUGAUGAUGACUAAUAGCAGCCGGUGCAAGCCAAACAUCACUUCAGUCUAUUACAAUGGACUUCAGAGGAUGAAUUGAUGCCAACUCCAACCAUAAGACAUGGGAUAUUUUAUAUACCAUUGCCUGAACCUUGGACUUAGGAUAGACCUCACCUAAAUUACUGGCCGGUUGAACUGCGAUGCACCUAACUGAUCUCUGCCUUCAUCACCUCGGACUAAUGAUGGACUACACUCUUGAAAUGGAAUAUAUAGACUAUCAAUUAAUUGCCAACAAAACCCUUCAUCAGCCAACUAACAAGAACAAUUGCAUCUAUGUGAAUCUAAGACAUUAUAGAUAUUAAAGUUUCAUUUUCUGUUAA